GGGGGAAAACAGCUCGAUUCCGUCAAAACCAAAGUGUCAUACUGGAAGAAAGGUGCCAAAGUGUAUUCAGAGAGGUUUUGGGGGAAAAAUGGCUUGAUUCUGUCAAAGCCACAAUGGGAUUUUGGGAGGAAGGUUCCAAAGUGGGUUUAAAGAGGUUUUGGGGAAAAAAAUGCUGGAUUCUGUCAAAGCCACAAUGGGAUUUGGGGAGGAAAGUUGCAAAAUGGAUUCGAAGAAGUUUUGGGGGAAAAAUGGCUCAAUUCUGUCAAAGCCACAGUGUUAUUUUGGGAGGAAGGUUGCAAAGUGGGUUCAAAGAAGUUUUGGGGGAAAAACGGCUCGAUUCUGUCAAAGUCACAAUGGGAUUUUGGGAGGAAAGUUCCAAAGUGGAUUCAAAGAGGUUUUGGGGGAAAACCAGCUGUUUUCUGUCAAAGCUGCAGUGUAAUUUUCAGAGGAAAGUUCCAAAGUGGAUUCAAAGAGGUUUUGGGGAAAAAAAUGCUGGAUUCUGUCAAAGCUGCGGUGUAAUUUUGGGAGGAAGGUGCCAAAGUGGGUUCAAAGGGUUCAAAGAGGUUUUGGGGGUGGAUUCAAAGCGGUUUUGGGGUGAAAUCGGGCGGGUUUGGUCCAGGCGAUGA
rnacentral:lncRNA from 1 species